rnacentral:rRNA from 1 species
GUGAGGAAUAUUGGUCAAUGGGCGGGAGCCUGAACCAGCCAAGUCGCGUGAAGGAAGAAGGAUCUAUGGUUCGUAAACUUCUUUUGCAGGGGAAUAAAGUGCAGGACGUGUCCUGUUUUGUAUGUACCCUGAGAAUAAGGAUCGGCUAACUCCGUGCCAGCAGCCGCGGUAAUACGGAGGAUCCGAGCGUUAUCCGGAUUUAUUGGGUUUAAAGGGUGCGUAGGUGGUUUGAUAAGUCAGCGGUGAAAGUUUGCAGCUUAACUGUAAAAAUGCCGUUGAAACUGUCGGACUUGAGUGUAAAUGAGGUAGGCGGAAUGCGUGUUGUAGCGGUGAAAUGCAUAGAUAUCACGCAGAACUCCGAUUGCGAAGGCAGCUUACUAAGCUACAACUGACACUGAAGCACGAAAGCGUGGGGAUCAAACAGGAUUAGAAACCCCAGUAGUCC